rnacentral:rRNA from 1 species
GAUGAACGCUGGCGGCGUGCCUAAUACAUGCAAGUCGAGCGAACGGACGAGAAGCUUGCUUCUCUGAUGUUAGCGGCGGACGGGUGAGUAACACGUGGAUAACCUACCUAUAAGACUGGGAUAACUUCGGGAAACCGGAGCUAAUACCGGAUAAUAUUUUGAACCGCAUGGUUCAAAAGUGAAAGACGGUCUUGCUGUCACUUAUAGAUGGAUCCGCGCUGCAUUAGCUAGUUGGUAAGGUAACGGCUUACCAAGGCAACGAUGCAUAGCCGACCUGAGAGGGUGAUGGGCCACACUGGAACUGAGACACGGUCCAGACUCCUACGGGAGGCAGAAGUAGGGAAUCUUCCGAAAUGGGCGAAAGCCUGACGGAGAAACGCCGCGUGAGUGAUGAAGGUCUUCGGAUCGUAAAACUCUGUUAUUAGGGAAGAAAAUAUGUGUAAGUAACUGUGAACAUCUUGACGGUACCUAAUCAGAAAGCCACGGCUAACUACGU